CCUCAGAAGGAGACGCACAGCACGCCGGGCAUGGGCAAGCCUGUGUUGUUAGGAACAAACCAUCUGGAGAAAGAGUUGGAAUGGAGCCCAUCAGUGCUAAGCCUCCAAUGGUGCUUCACUUCUUCCGGAAGAUGCACAGCUCAGCAGGCCACACAGGGCUCAGCAGGUCACAGCCACAGAUUCUCACAGGCAAAGACGAGAGGAUGGAUAAACAAGGGUUUGCCAAGGAGAAGAUGCCAGUGUCACACUUUCUCCCUCAGUGUGUUCAGAUGGGAUUGGAAAGUCUCCCUGGCCACACAGGUGCACGGUGGGUCCAACUCUGACCCCUGACGCUGCCUUUUCUAGGGUGUCUCCUCUGCUCCAAGGGUUGGACAAAUGGGAACUUGUUUCUGGAGAUCCCUUGCCAGUUGGGUUUGUUUAUAACCCACCAGUGAGAAGCUUUGAAGCUAUUUCAAAGACGAAAGAGAACCAGAAGUCACUCUCUGACUACCCCAAAAGCACAGGAGGAAUGGCCAAGAUUCAGCAGACAGGAGAAUGUGGAGCAAGUUGGGGCUUCCCCACAGGGCUUGGAUGAUCUCUGCUGCUCUCCUGUGACUUCCGUAAUUUCCUGGUGCUCUGCAAGUGAUCAGCCAGCAUAAGGUGAUGCCCUGGAAUUCCCCAACUCUUUUAUUGCUUUUGUGGGCACCACAUUUCCUGUGUCAGAGUCUCUCCUGCUCAAGAUACCAAAAGUGACACCACCCUAAGAUAUGGAAACACAGACCCUGAACUACCUUGAAUACCCUCAAAAUGACCAAGUGUUGAGUGUUUCAUUUACUCAGUGAAAUUCCUUCCCUUAAGUCUACUACAUCAUUAAUUUUUAGUAAAUUUCUCAUUGUUAGAUAAUGAUAAUUAAAUCCACCAUAUAAGCAAUAGAGAAAAUUAAUUUCAUUAUAAUUUAGAAUCAUAUUAACAGAAAAUAAAAAAUGCAUGGACCUUCCAUGGAUCCAAUCCUAGUCAUCAUUUUAGCAACUGUCCAUAAAGAGGUACUUGUGAUAUCAUUCUACCCAUAUGUGCCUUACUUAGUUUUUUGGGGAGGAGAUCAUGGAUAAAAUGUGCUAUUUUAGAAAUUAGAAGGUCCAACAAGAAUAUAAUUAUCCAUUUAAAUGGCUCAUUUAAUAACUUAACUCCAGUAGAGGUCCUUCAAGACAUUUCUCUUCACUUCCUUAUUUUGCUCCAAAAAAAGUCUGGCUUAGGACAGGUUCCUGAGAAGCAGAGUUUGACAUGAAGGUGCUUGUGUAAAGGCUACAUUGAGGAGUGCAGCCUGCAGAGACCAAUGAGAAACCAAAAAAGCAGGACAAGGAAGGGGAAGAAAAUACCCAGUGUGUCGUAGACUGCAGCCUGGCUCAGCUGGCUCCUACGGGGAGCCCUGUGGUGUGCACAGUGUCCCAGAGCCUUUCCACCUUGAGACCAGGGGACUUUCAGACCUUCUUGUCAGUUUGCUAUAGGCUGUAGGGUGCCCCUAAUUGGAAAUGGACACAAUCUCCCAAGCAUUUCUCAGGAGUCAGCCCAAGCCAGAAUGAGGGCAAAUGUCUGGGAAAUUUUUUUUUAAAGCAGCUGUGAGUGGGUGGUACUCAAAACUCACAACAGCUGAGGGCUGGAGUUACAGUCCCUUGAAAGGAAUCAAGGCAAGUCACUAUAACGUUAAGCCACUAUCAGAGUCAUUGACUGCUGUUUUUGAAGAUUGUGUGUGUUUCUAUGGCCUAAGUGUCAAAAGGAGAUAAAAGAGAUGAACUCAUAGCUGUUUCUGAUUCUUCUUCCUCCAUCCAUCCUAUUUAUUACUGAGUAUUUGAUGCCUCCACUUUACUUAGUUUUUCUCCUCCCAUGUCUUUAUGUAAGUGUAAGGAAAUGCAAAUACACAGCCGCAUGCAUCCUUCCCUUUCCUUCUGUGCAGGAUCCACGACAGCAUAGCGUGUCGGAGUUCACUGCUUACUGUUCUAAUGCAGUGCCAGCCUAUCUGCGUUGCCAUAAAGGAAUAUCUAAGACUGAGUGAUCGAUGAAGAACACAGGUUUGUUUUGGCUCAUGGUUCUGCAGGCUGUAUAGAAAGAACAGUGCUGGUAUCUGCUACUGGUGAAGCCUUAGGAGGAUUCCAGUCAUGGCAGGAGGCAAAGGGAGAGCCAGCAAGUCCCAUGGUGAGAAAAAGCAAGAUAGGGAGUGAGGGAGAGCCAGGCUCCUUUAAACAACCAGGGCUUGCAUAGACUUGUAGAGUGAGAACUCACUCAUUUCCACGGAGUGGAUGCCAAGCCAUUCAUGGGGAAUCCACCCAUACGACUAAAUGCCUCCCGUCAGGCCCCACCUCCAACACUGGAGAUCACUUUUCAACAUGAGAUUUGGAGGGGAAAGAUAUCCAAACAAUGUCAUAUGCUUUGCUUUUCUCACUUGCAACUAUAUUCUAGAAGUCUUUCCAUGUCAGUACACAGAGACUAUCCCCAUUAUUUCAGUUGUGCUGAGGAAGCAUCAUUGACUGAGAUAGCCAUUUCUCACUAGACUCUCACUGUGGAGACAUUAACUCAUCCAUGUUCGUAAAACUCCAUUCACAUGGACACACCGUGUGUUGGUGCUGCUUCAUCAGACAUCGUGUUAGCAAAGCAGCCA
ensembl:lncRNA